rnacentral:misc_RNA from 1 species
GAAGCGCGAAAUGUAGUGUGAAUCGCAGAACAUUGUGAAUCAUCGAAUCUUUGAACGCACAUUGCGCCUCUCGGAACCGAGAGGCAUGCCUGUCUGAGCGUCAUUUAAACCAAUGGACCCGGGAGGGUCAGUGUUGGGCCUCGUCACCCGGCGUCGCCUCGAAGACAUCGGUCUUAUGAGCGGAUGAGAUCCAUAAGGACUGACCGUUUGUCGACCUUAAACCUCAGACUUGACCUCAGAUCAGGUGGGACUACCGCCUGAACUUAA